rnacentral:tRNA from 1 species
GGAAGCCUUAGUUUAAUUAAAAUUUCUGAUUUGCAUUCAGGAGAUGUAGAGUGAUUCUAUAGGUUUUA